GGCGGCAGGCUUAACACAUGCAAGUCGAACGCUCGUAGCAAUACGGGAGUGGCAGACGGGUGAGUAACGCGUGGGAACAUACCCUCCGGUUCGGAAUAGCUCAGGGAAACUUGGAUUAAUACCGGAUACGGCUGAGAGGCGAAAGACUUAUCGCCGGAGGAUUGGCCCGCGUUCGAUUAGCUUGUUGGUGAGGUAACGGCUCACCAAGGCGAUGAUCGAUAGCUGGUCUGAGAGGAUGAUCAGCCACAUUGGGACUGAGACACGGCCCAAACUCCUACGGGAGGCAGCAGUGGGGAAUAUUGGACAAUGGGCGCAAGCCUGAUCCAGCCAUGCCGCGUGAGUGAUGACGGCCUUAGGGUUGUAAAGCUCUUUCGCUCGGGACGAUAAUGACGGUACCGAGAUAAGAAGCCCCGGCCAACUUCGUGCCAGCAGCCGCGGUAAUACGAAGGGGGCUAGCGUUGUUCGGAAUUACUGGGCGUAAAGCGCGUGUAGGCGGGUCUUUAAGUCAGA
rnacentral:rRNA from 1 species